UAGCCGCUCAGCCGGUGGGCUACUGCGGCAGUGAAGACGUUUAUUGGCAUUAUGUGCUUGUUUGGCUAACUGGUCGGCUAAAAAAAGUUACGUUGUGUCGUUCAAGUUUUAAAUUGCCGUUCACCAAAGAAUGUAUGUCAUAAUAGCAGGGAAAUAGACGGUAAACAAUCGCACGCAAUUAUUCAAAACAUUAGUUAAUAAAUUACAAGUCAAAACGCGCCAUCUGUUGGUGGCUGUUAGCAUUCUGCCACUGUUAGCUAACAGGCGUAAACUUAAGACCGUAGACAACUUUGAACUGAAAAGCGGGCAGGAGUCAUGAAUCACCAGGGUCACUGCAGCAAGAUGGAGCUGGAAAAUGGAUCAGAAACCUUGAUUAUAAUCAAGUCAUGGAUUCUUUUGGCCAGAGACAGUGAGGAAAAAAUACCUGGUAUAAGCUUUCAUUAAUCUCGUGUCCGUCGGUGUUAAUCAGUUAAGCUCCACCAUUGAGAUGGAACAUAUCCAAUGAGCGAGUGCUGCUACCUGGAGUAUCAUGCUGGAGUGCAGAGGUCAGACAGCUGGAAGUGGCAUGUGUCAUUAAGGGCCCCUUUUCUAUAUCUGUGUUUGACUGUUGGAAGAUGUAUGCUAUAGCCUGUCCUGAUAAGAGCAUAUCUGCCAGUGGGACCACAUGAAGGAGUCAGAGGUUGGCCGUAUCUCAGUCUCUGGGAAGGCGUCGCAUCCAGGCAUCAGGGUCUGGGGUCCCCAUGGUGAUGCACUCUCUGCUGCAAGAUCGAGCCAUCACUUACUGAUUGACUGUCGCCUCCUUGAACUCCUUUAGUGGCAAUAUUUAAACAGCACCAUUUCGUUUGACAUUUGUCCUUUGUCCUGGUACAGCACGUUUUCCCAUUGAUAAGAUUAAAGUGUGUGCUGAGUAGGAUAAAUACCAUGAAAAAUGUAACAUACAGUAGUUACCUUGAAAAUUGAUGAAAACAGCUUCUCAAUUUAGGAAAUUCCUCUUCCUACUAAAUUGCUCGAUUUCAAAAUAAACUUUCUUUUUGAGGUUGUCCAGGCUGCUUCAUUAAUUAAAUAUGGUAACCUGUGGGAAGCAUUUUAACACAGAAAUAUGGGUAUAAUUAAUUUCAACAGCACUCAAUUUAAAAUUUGUCUCAAAUACUCUGAUAUAAUGACUUCAAAUGGUAGAAAAUGGCUUAAGAGCCACAAAGUCAAUAACAGUAAUACGGUUCUUCUAGAAGAAAUUGGAAACAUUUUUAUCAACAUCUGAUGCACUCCGCACAGAGAUACAGAUGAGUGACAAUUCAGUGGAAAGAAACAACAUAAACCUCUCCGUCUGGAGCUCCCCAUUCUCCCAUAGGUGUUCAAUUGAUUCACAUCUUUUUCAUUCUCAUCAAUCCAUUAAAAUGACUCUUUAUAUCCUGUAUGAAAGCGUCUGAAUUUGUCACAUUUAUCCAACCAUUCAUUCAGGUUUUCCUUUAAUUUUUCACUUUUCUGUAAGCAUCUGCACUGAAAGAGGCAAUAAGAAAUGCUGUCAAAAGUCUCCGAAUAGCACGGCAUAAAUUGACUGAGAAAGUUUCGGCGAAGACUUCAACAAAGAAAAGCGAAAUGAAAACUUUUCAUUUAUACUGCAACACAUUCUUUGUAUUGUCAAAGAAUCUGCUUUUGUUAAUCCAUUAAGCAAAAGACUUUCUUUAUGCACCAUGGUCAAACAUUCAAGAGGGGUACUAUGAGUUUCUAUGCAAUCACAGUGAGUUGAAGUAAGAGUUUGAAGAAUAGAAGGUGGAAUACAAUAUGCACCGGUAGAAUAGAAUGAACAUGAUAAUUAUGCUAAAUUAUAAAGUGUUGCUGACAUCUGUCACCCAGAAUUUCUUUCAACAAAUGAAGAGAAAUAAACACAGAACAUUCCUCUGUUGUGAAGGAGUGUAAUCCUCUUGCCUCCCUGUGCUCUUUUCUUUUCUACUGACAAUGAUAAUUACAGUUUUUGU